rnacentral:lncRNA from 1 species
GAUAAACAAGCCAUAAAUAUUUAAAUGUAUAAGGCCCGGUCUUUUCACCUCCGAAUAAAUAUGCUCUUAUCUGGCAGUUAGCUAUCUGGAGGAUAAAUAUUUAUUCGCCAGAUAAAAUGUACCCGUCUUUUCACGUCAAUUUAUGUUCCAGUUAGUUAUCCGGUAGAUAAGCUUAAAACUUUAACUUAACCUAACAUAAUUAGAUUCAAAGUAUUUCAAAGAUGAUUUUAUCGAUUUUAUUUCCAUUUUGGAAGAAG